UGCGCUGUGCUGGGCUUCCCUCCAUGCUGGGGGGCAACCCCAGGUGCUCAGACCGCAUGGAUGGGGCACUAAGGAAGGACUGUGGGGGUCCCCAGCUGAGAGAAGCCAGCUCUGCAGAACACUCGGUUUGGAUUGUGGUUUCCCUGGCACCCUCAGGGAGGGAUCUGGGCUGUGAGCUCCUGAGCUGUGUGGUGCUCCCUGGGGCAAAUCUCAGCAGUGGGGUGGUUCCAAGGACAACGUUCUGGUUUUAGUCUGCCACAGCUCUCCUGUUCAGCCCUGGGCAAGGUGGCCACCGGGCUCCCACAGCCAAAACAAUAAGCAGAGACCAAAAGGAAGUAAAACCUGGCUUUACAUCACAUAAGGACAAGAUGGCAAAACUUUCCUAAAGACAUAUGUUGUGGACAAAGGAAAACCCCUCAAAGGCAGAACUUAGGCACAGCCACUGCAGUUUAUUCAGGUCAAGCUGGGCUCUGCAGCACCACCUGAUUUGUGGUCAUUGGUGGCACCUGCCCUUGGAGGCAUCACA